UUUUGAUUCAGUUUUAGAAAUUAGACUAUUUUUCAUUUGACCUCCCUUUGGAGGCAUCUUUAGAAUGAAUGACCCAAAGGAACACACCUUCAGAUUGAAACAAAGAAGGAAAAGCAUUGAAACAGAGACAGUUUUCUUCAAUUAAUCUUAUGAAUCGGAAAUUUUGGGGGAUUCCCAGGGGGUUCAAUCUUGCUUAUUUCUCACCAAUUUGAACCUGAAGGACCCGAAGUGCAAGCUCUAGUUUCUGAUUCAUGCAACGCUUGCAAUGUAAUGUGAUUGAGUAGAGAAAUAAGCAGCAAGUCACGGUUCCCAAAAAGCGCGUGUGAUAGUCACUCAGAGCAAAGCACGGAUUCGUAAUAAUUGCACGAACGCCCCUUUUGGCUGUCAACACUCAUUCUACGUCCCCCACGUCGCUACCCUUCCAAUUGCACGGACAUCAAAAUCAUAUUCCCUCCUCCUCUCCAAUCCGCUUUCUCUCCCCCACCGUUGUCUCCUCCUCGCGAUUGAAUCAUGAAAGCUUCAUCGUCUUCUAUGACGGUUUCCUCUGUGUCCAAGUCGCUCUUGCCUCCUCGACGUAGGCUCCGUCUUCAUCCUAACAAUUCUUUGUUCUUUCCUCGUAAAGAGCGCCAUCAGAAUGAAGAAUACAAGCAGAUCCCAUGUAGCUUUCAAGGAAUCAGGAGAUGUACGAUUUUUACUUGAUCUAGCUCUACAGAUAAUGAUGUGAUACAAUGAUGUUCCAGCUCAUUUGCUCAUUCCUGUGGAUAAUUCUUUAUUGAAGUUAAUCCAUGUCACAAAUGAACUAUCAUUUACAUCGGUCAGGUAGAAGCGCUUGAAACCUUUCCUGAACAUCUGUCAAGCUAGAUUGUUAAAACGGCAUAGAAGGAAUGUGAACUUACCCUGACGUUCGACAUCAGCAUGGAUGCAAAAAGCUUUACCUGUAGUUCUUCAGAUGGAUCGAGUUCUACAAGCUUACAAUAUUUAGCUUCUCUGGAGAAUAAAGAGGUGUAAACAGGCUUUAAUAACCGUCUCUUUUAUUUGGUCUAAUAUGAUCCAUCCGUUGCAGCAAAAUAGUGAUGCUAAGGGAUCGAGUAGUUCAACUUGAAUUUUAUUGUUCAUCUGUGACAGUCUUUCCAUGGAGAAAGAAAUAUGAAGUUUUAAUUCUAUAAUAUUGGUUGCGCAUGGCAUGGCAAUCGGUACAGACACGCAAGUAAAAGAAAUUGUGUAAGUUAUUGGCUUUUGCAUUUCUUUAAUUUCUUUGUUUUCUUCUUUUGUCACCUUCAGAUUUUCCUCUAUAUGUAGAAGUGAAUUACCGUUAGUGCAAAAGCUUCUCAUGGAAAGUUUCUGGAAGUUUCUUCAUGUGCAUUGUUUUCCAUUCUUACUGGUUUUUGUGCCAUAUUGGGCUCCAACACGGCCCAUCCCUGCCUCUUGCGCUUCUGCUUAAUUAUUAUAUCUAAGAAUCGAACAAUUUUCGAAAUCAAUGUUUUGAGCUCUUACAGCAUAAUCAUUUUCUAGGAAGUUAUUGUCUUCUGAGGAUUAAAGAAUCUAUAUAUUUUCAAUCUUUCAUUUUCCGUUCUCCCUGCGGUUUGGUUUAUAAGAGUCACCGAGUAAGAUUCAUUUUUCUAAUAGUUUAUUUGAUGCACUGUUUCCGAGUAAGAAUCUAACAGUGACAUCAUUUGUUGCCUAUAUUUGUAGUUUUUGUCGCAGGGUGCUAGUGUUGGAACUACAUAGACCGCUAAAAUUGUCAACCGUUUUUAUUAGCAUAGAGGGUCCCUCAUUUACUAAUUGUGAAAUUGACUCUUUUGUUUCCCUUCAAGAGUCUUGCCACUAUCUUAAGUAAAUCUGCUUAUUCAAAUUCUUCUUAACUAUUGAGAAAUUUUGGUUUUCUCGGUCUAUUUAUCCUUGCCUUUGUGAUUUGAACAUCAAUUUUUACUGCCUGAGAUUACUUCAAAUUUUAAUGAGUUUCUCCCAGAGCAAGCGUGUGAGAUAAUCAUGCAGAGGAAAAUAUAAGUUUCUUGCACAUUUAUAUUCUGCUUUUGUUGUGCUAGUUUAAUUUAGAUGAUGUGGCCUGUGAAAGCAUUCAACAUUGGGUGUUAUUAUCAAUACUUUGACGAACUAAUAGUGGAUGUUGUAUUUAGAAUUCAUGUCUAGGUACUUCUAAUCUUUACCUUACACCAGAUGAACACGGAUGAACUACUCAGUUCACAGAAGAAAGAGCUAUGUGGGGGCAUUUCUAAGUUGUGCUUAGGUGUUCGUGCUGUAAGGACCCACUGGCUAUCCUAUCGAGCGACAGGAAGCGAUGGGCUGAAAGGAACUUGAAAUAAAUAUUUAUAUGAAUUCCAAGCACUUAGCUUAGCGAUGGAAAAUCGUUGCUUUGGAAUCACAAAACCUUUUCUUGUCAUCUUCGUGAUUUUUAAAUCUCUUUUUGGGCCAUCAUGUCAGUUCCUCACCAUAAACACGUGGAUAGCCUCUCAAGUCACUGUAACCUAAAUGUUAAUCAUAAAUGUUUGGGGGCACUUUUGGCAUGGGACUGUGCAUUUGCACAAAAUGUGGUAUUACAAAUCCGUUAUGGAAAGCACACAGUGAAGCAUACAAAGGUAGUUGGGUAGGGGAAGGCAGGCCAUAAUGCUGUUGAUGAUCCUUUUGUCGGCGGAAAACAUGCAUGGAACGAAUUACGUGUCGAUAUGAGGCAAAUUAGCUUCAUCGAAAUGGAAAGAGAUGAAAAGAGAUUGGCUAACAGGUGAGAGAGCCUCGAAUCUGCCAUGAAUUGAAAGCUACGUUUCAAUUUGUAUGUGUCCAGAGAAAUGGCUGUAUGAAACCCAUGAUUUUGUGCCCCUUCCAGUGGGAAACUGUGAAACUCGACCUCCAAAGCCUUCCUUUUCGACUGUCAAUGGAGGGAAUAGUAGCUACCAAUCAUAUAUCUUACACUAACUUUUGUUUUCUUUUUUCUUUCUUUAAUUAAAUUAUACUGAUUCAUUAGGAAAGUUUACGUCCAAAAGACGAACAAACCCUCUCAUUUUAUAAGAUUCAUAAGUCACCUUUUUUUUAUCUAUUGAAUUUCAACAUGUACUCAAAAGGACAACAUUGAAGGAGCACAUUAAAGAUUCAUAAAAAAAAAAUGGAAGAAACCUCCCGACUUUUAUAAGAUUUAUAAGUUACUCUUGUUGUACAUUUGUUUUGAGGUAAAACUUGAUGUAUAUCAUUUUGACUUUUGUUAUGUAACUUAUGUAUCUCUUUUUGUGA